UACGUAGGGAGCAAGCGUUGUCCGGAAUCAUUGGGCGUAAAGCGCGCGUAGGCGGCCUCAUAAGUCCGUUGUGAAAGUCAAAGGCUCAACCUUUGAAAGCCGAUGGAUACUGUGAGGCUAGAGUCCGGAAGAGGCGAGUGGAAUUCCUGGUGUAGCGGUGGAAUGCGCAGAUAUCAGGAGGAACACCGGUGGCGAAGGCGGGUCUCUGGGCAACAACUGACGCUGAGGAGCGAAAGCGUGGGGAGCGAACAGG
rnacentral:rRNA from 1 species